rnacentral:rRNA from 1 species
GCGUGAGGGAAGAAGGUCUUCGGAUUGUAAACCUCUGUCCUUGGGGACGAAAAAAAUGACGGUACCCAAGGAGGAAGCUCCGGCUAACUACGUGCCAGCAGCCGCGGUAAUACGUAGGGAGCAAGCGUUGUCCGGAAUUAUUGGGCGUAAAGGGUGCGUAGGCGGCAUGGUAAGUCAGAUGUGAAAUCCCCGGGCUUAACUCGGGUGGGUCAUUUGAAACUGCUGUGCUUGAGUGCAGGAGAGGAAAGCGGAAUUCCUAGUGUAGCGGUGAAAUGCGU